GAUUGGAUCAUUCUCUGGAGAUAUUCAAGACCUGUCUGGAUGCCUACCUGUGAAACCUGAUGUAUGGAGUCAAUCCUGUCCUCACGGAAUCAAGUCUUAAAUCACUACAAUGGGAACACAGCUGAUUCUGAUUCAUUGUACCCUGUUCCCUGUGUUACAUCUACUCUGAAUGUCUGCACUUCUCUUGUCAAAAUAAUCUCCAAUGGAAUCACUGCAAGCAUUUUUUCUACCUAUAUAUUGUCAUAUACUACUUGCCAGUUUUUCUUCUUUUUUUGUUUUGAUGGAAUACACAAAGAUCAGAACAUAACAGAAGGUGCUGAACAGUAUUUGUCCUUUUAUUCCUACACUGCUCAAAUAUUGUUUCACUAAAACUGGAACUUUUCACUCAUGGGAAAGAUUGAUCAAGAUCAGAGAGUACAUACUGAUAUGACUACAGGUUAUUAAGUGGAAAUAAUUGAAUCAUAGAAUCACAGAAUGGCCUGGGUUGAAAGGACCACAGUGAUCAUCGAGUUUCAACCCCGGCUAUGUGCAGGGUCACCAACCACUAGACCAGGCUGCCUAGAGCCACAUCUGGCCUGUACUUGAAUGCCUCCAGGGAUGGGGCAUCCACAGUCUCCUUGGGGCUCAGCUCUGUCCCUAUCAGAAAAAUGAUGCUUUCAGAAUUUUUACAUUAUUUAUGAGAUAGAGUAUUUUUUCUUUGUUUGUUUCUGUGUUUUUGUUUUUGUUCAAUACUAAUAAGGGCUGUGGCUUUAGGAAAACAUAGUUUCUCUGACACUGCCAUGUGAUCAGAUGGCUUACACUGAACUAAAUAAAUGGUCUUGAAAAUACAUAUUGUUUGAAAUAAAGGACCUUAUUUUCAAGUACUAUGAAACACAUGGACAUCUCAUAGAAAAAGAACUAUUAGCUGACGCACUGAGAACAGCUUUAAUCCACUCUCCCUAUGAGCUCUUAUGAGCUCAUGGUUCAAAGGACACUUUCAUGUUUUUAUAUUAAGCGCUUAGAAUUCUUUGUGAGCAAAAACUUUUAUAAGGAUUUUCAGCUUUUAAAAAGAGUCUUUCCAAGAUUUCUGUGAGAUUGCUCAAGCAACAUAUCCAGUCCUCAGAACAAUCCCACAAAAUGAAUAAACUUUGACAUACAAGUGCCUGUCACAUCUUGAAAGCGUUUAGCUUUUGAGAACAUUUUGUAGAAGAGUUUUUUGUUAUAUGGAUCUUUCAUCCAUUUUCCCAUCCUCAUCCAGCAGCCAAAAUUAUUAUCAGAGAAACCUGUGCAGACCUCACAAAAUAAAAAUGGAGGUGUUACAGAAGGUGAAAGUUCAGUUCUUCAUGUUUAAGUCAGCAAGAGCACUGAGUUCAAGAGAAAGAUUUACUGAAAUCUUCAGUUAGGAGUAAAGGAAGAAAACCUUAUAGGGCCCGUGAAGCUUGUAUUUCCAAACAAGUGUUAAUAAAUCACAGUUCAUCUCAUUUAAAAUCUGUAUAAAAUAAUUUAGAUAAAAUGCACUUAACAAACAUCAAAGUUCUACCUACUUGCAAUAGAUAACCUGAGGCAGAAGUGUCCAAUAUAAGUAGGGUAGUUUCAGCCUUGUAAAAAUCAUGAAAAUACUUUGCAAAGUUGUUUUGAAAAUGUCUUUUGGCAACCCUGAUGACUCCAGGUAUAUACUGAUGGGAUCACAUUAAUGUCUUUGGCUACCUGAGCUUAUCAUUCCUCACAUUAAUAUUAAUGUAAUCAUUUUGGACUUCUUAAUAGACUUCACAGAGUCUUCACGGUUUGUCUUCACAGAGUCACAGUGUUAUUUAUGUAAGAUCUUUUCCAGAGUCUCAGUUUAGUAAAGAUUGGGACUUACAGUGGUAAGGUCACUGUAAUACUGAGGACAAAAGAGAAACACCUCUGGGAAAAUGUCUGGUGUCUUAUGCUGAAUAAUUUCUCUUAUUGUAUAAAUUUCUUAUGCUUUAUAUUUUCAUACUUGUUUAUACUGUGUGGCUCCUGCUCUCAUUAAAAAAAUAUAUAUAUAUAUAAAAAAAUAAAUGCUGUAACAU
rnacentral:lncRNA from 7 species